UGGGGAAUCAUGCACAAUGGGGGCAACCCUGAUGCAGCGACGCCGCGUGAGCGAUGAAGCCCUUCGGGGCGUAAAGCUCUUUCGACCGGAACGAUAAUGACGGUACCGGGAGAAGAAGCUGCGGCUAACUACGUGCCAGCAGCCGCGGUAAUACGUAGGCAGCAAGCGUUGUUCGGAGUUACUGGGCGUAAAGAGUGCGUAGGCGGUUUUCUAAGUUCGGUGUGAAAUCUCCCGGCUUAACUGGGAGGGUGCGCCGAAGACUGGGAAGCUGGAGUGUGGGAAAGGCAGGCGGAAUUCCUGGUGUAGCGGUGAAAUGCGUAGAUAUCAGGAGGAACACCGGCGAUGUAGACGGCUUGCUAGACCAUAACUGACGCUGAGGCACGAAAGCGUGGGUAGCAAACA
rnacentral:rRNA from 1 species